AAGGUGCCACAAGCUGUAAUAAUGUCUCAACCUUUUUUGAUACCAGGGGCUGGCUUGCUGCCUUCAACUGUCAGGAAGAUCUCAGGGGCUGGUGCCAAUCCAUGGACCAGUCAUUAGGAAACACUGUGUAGUUUAUCUUUUAUAAGGGCCAGUCUGCUUGAGUUAAGAAAGCAGCUUCCUUUGAAUGUUGGUGUAUGCCAAACUUAACCCAGGUGCAAUUUUGAAAUAGUUCAGAAUGUUAGGGCCCUCCACAGAUCACUCCUCAUACAUGCCAUAAAAGGGAAUCUUGCUAGGCCAGAGCUUGACAUUCAGAAGUAUUGUCUACUAAUAAGGCAUGAAGCUCGAGAGAUUACAGAUUGAUAGGGAAGCUAGCUGCUCAAAAGGGAAUUUAUACACAUGUAUAGGCAAACAUUUGGCUCCAUCUUGUCUGUGCUUACCAUUUCGCUAGAAUAUAAUGAAACUUGUAAGAGACUGAGGAAGAGCAUUCACACAACAGGAAGUCAUUUCCAGUUUUACUUUCAUUCUGUUCUGUUUCUUUCCACCAUAUCACACAAUCCAGUAAUUUCUGCCCAUUGAGUAGUUCUCCCCCCCUUACUAGGGAUGUCAUUUUGCAUUCCUCUUCAAAAUGUAUGCCUAGAAAUUUAUCUACUUCACCUUUUAACUCUUUUCCAGACGGAUUAAGUGGCAACCAACAGGCAGCCCAAACAGACAUCCUGCCAAUCAGCAUAAAGAUUCCCUUUUAGUUUUCAGUGCUGAAGUAUACAGCACUUCCCAGUUCUCUUCACCUGUGGCAGGUGCAAUUUAUUCAAUUGAAUGAUUCAGAAAGAUUUUUAGCAUGAUUCCUUAGGAUAUGCAGAGAAUUUGGGAUGAUAUCCUAGAAGGCAGGUAGAGAAAGGCAGACAAGAUCUUACCCAUUAUACACCUGUACAACUUGCAACAGCAGUACCAAGGAUUACAACUUUAACUGCCGUGGUUUUAAAAGAAGUUGUGUUUAAAAUGGACUUUGAUUUAAAUGACUAUUUAUUGCUAUGGAGAUUUUAUUAGACUGUUUUCUCUAUAAAAAAAUAAAAUAACUCAAGAUCUGAACUUCUAUAUUUCACUUUAUCUGGCAUGAUCACUGCAGCACUUUAGGAAUAAUGUAUUUGCUAGUGUAAAAUCUGGAUCAAGUCAAGUGAAGCACAAAGCAACUAACAGCAGUUCAUUUGCAGACAAGUUAACUAUCUUUCAAUUCUAGAACUAAAGCAACAUUUCAAAUAAAGUACACUGGAAUGUAUGAAGAACGUGGACUACAGACUUUGAACCAACAAAUUCCUCACUGAGAUUGCUGAAGACUUUUUUGUAGAAGUCAUGCAAAAAGGUUUUAAAUUGCUAAAGUUACUUACUCCCAGCUUUAGCUUAGUUCAUAUCUGUCUCAUAAAUAUACUAUCACUAAGGUACAGUAUGCUCAGAGGUGAGUGUUCCAAGUUUCAGAAGAAGGGAAACAAAACAAUCUUACAGAAACACAGUUUGCAGCUGUUUCUGAAGAGCUCUUCAUUUCAACUGAAAUAAGCAGAUUCAAUUGGCAGUGCUGUACUGAGACUGACAUAAUGCAGACAACGUAGUGUUAUAGAUGUUGCUUUAUACAUGGAAAAAAUUGGCUUGGGCAAUAGUUCCUUUCCUCUGUUAAAUGCUUUGAGAGCUCCUAAGAUACAAGGGCUAAAGUAAGUAUCAUCCCCAUUUUACAGAUGAGGACACUAAGGCAUAGAGGCAAAAAUUAUUUGAAGGUCACAGCAGAGCAGAGCCAAUAGAACCCAGGUCUGAACUCCCUACCCAGUGCCCUGUCCACUGGACCUAGGGUGGUCACCUCUGAAAUACAAAAAACAGACAUCUGGGAUGAUCCUGAGCCCUUAACACUCAACAGCUUGCAGUGUGUACUAAGCAACUUUACAGAUUUCCUGGGAUGGCUACCAAAAAAGGGGCAAUGCUGGGAAAACCUGGCCAGGUGGCAACUCUAGCUGUAUCAUGCUGUCUUCAAAGGAAGACCACCACAUCUGAACACUAAAAGUAGUGGAAAUUAAAAUAUUCAAAUGGGUAUUUAAUAAGCACAUAUCAUUUGUUGACCUAAUAACUGAGCUACAAACUGGAUGGGCAAAUCUAGCAGCUUCAGCAAUUGUCCCAAUACACUGGAGCUCUCAUAAAAAACAGACUCAAGUAGAGUCCAGCUAUACAACUGGCAGACAGACAUCUAGAGAAUUCUCCUGAAGUGGUCCAUAGAAUCUAAAAUUUUUCUUGGCAUAAAAGCAGAUUAAGUGCAUACUCAAAGCAGGAGAAUCACAGUAUGAAGGGCAUGCUGUCCACUGAACUGAAGGUCACAAUUUAAGAAAGGAGCCAGCUGCAACAUCUGCAGGAUUUGAGAGACCAUUUAUACUGAGGUAAGGCAAACUAAGCGUUGCUGCUCAUGGUGUAGUGCAGUGGUCUCCCAACUUUUCACAUUGCACAACUCCCCUUAUCCCUGUCCAUGCCCCUGCCCAGGAGCCGGGGCCAGAGCUGGGCAGCGCAGGUGGGGGUCUAGACUGGGCCCUGCUGCGUUCCCCCCCAUCCCCUGAACAUUCCUCCAUGCCCCUAGAGGGGCAUGCCCCAUAGUUUGGGGACCACUGAUCUAGUGCAAGAGGUAAUCUGAAGUAUUAAAAUGCACCCUUCAGCAGCAGCAAAAUGCAGCAGUUUCUAGUAUUGAUGUUAGAACUCCAAAUUGACAUAUUAAAUCACCCAAGUUCAUGCAGCAUCUAGCAGUCUUUGUAUUGUUAGUUCUUCCCAAAGUCCAUUCAGGAAAUAAAGUGUCAGAGAGCCAUUAUUCCAGAAGCAAGGAGAAAUAAAAGAUUUAAAGAGCAUUGUUUGUGCAAGCAACUUUUCUGGCUUAAUGUUUGCUCUAACUUCUAACAGAACCCACCUGCACCAACAUCAGUCUGCUGGUUUAAAAUGCAAAUCAGAAGUAAACAUUGAGCGACUGCGCCUACC